ensembl:lncRNA PCAT1 prostate cancer associated transcript 1
GAGGUGCUUAUUUAGCAAAUUCAACCUUAAACCUGAGUGCAUGGAAACUAUUGAUGCAGUGUCCAAGGUGGAGAAAGGUCAGAGUGGAUCCAGAGGAGCCAAGAGAAGACGUCCAGCAUGGUGACCUGGGCUCAAGUCAAGGUCCUUAUUUCUCUGAUUUCUGUUCAGAAAACACAUCUUCAGGAAAAUCACCCCUGACUCACCCAGGCUAAGUCACAAGCUUUUGUUAUAAGGUCUCAUCACACCAUAUGCCUCUCUUUCAAAACCAGCACCUGCAGAAAUCAGUUUCUUAUAGGGCACGUUUGAGGCUGACUGCAGUGGAAGAUGUAACUUACUGGACAUCAUAGGGACAUGGUGCAUCCUGUCCCUAUGAUGCACCAUGCCUGGCCUGCGGGCCUUCUUAAUAUGCAGGGCAAUGGCCAGUGCUGCUGUCCCCCUGCACGCAGACUUGUCACAGUGGCACUGUGGGGCUCUGCUGGACUCAUCAGUGGCUCCCUCACCCACAGCCUUCACAACUCUGACUGGAAUUCUUCGCAGAGCCAGGGCACCUAAAGGCAAAAGGUCAUUCUCUCUGGGUGAAUCCAGCUGACAUGUUGUGAGGACACUCAAGCAGCUUUAUGGAAAAGCCCACAUGGUGAGCAACUGAGGCCUCCUACCAACAGCCAACAAGAAACCGGGGCCUUUGCCAACAGCCAA